AUUGAACGCUAGCGGCAUGCUUAACACAUGCAAGUCGAACGGUAACAGGCCUAGCUUGCUAGGUGCUGACGAGUGGCGGACGGGUGAGUAACGCGUAGGAAUCUACCUUGUAGUGAGGAAUAACCUGGGGAAACUCAGGCUAAUACCGCAUGAGCCCUAAGGGGGAAAGCAGGGGACCGAAAGGCCUUGUGCUAUGAGAUGAGCCUGCGUCGGAUUAGCUAGUUGGUGGGGUAAAGGCCUACCAAGGCGAUGAUCCGUAGCUGGUCUGAGAGGACGA
rnacentral:rRNA from 1 species